rnacentral:misc_RNA from 1 species
GAUGAAGAACGCAGCGAAAUGCGACAAGUAAUGCGAAUUGCAGAAUUCAGUGAGUCAUCGAAUCUUUGAACGCACAUUGCGCCCUGUGGUAUUCCGCAGGGCAUGCCUGUUCGAGCGUCAUUUCAACCCUCAAGCUCUGCUUGGUGUUGGGCCACGCCCUCGCGGCCGGCCCCAAAGCCAGUGGCGGCGCCGUCCGGCUCUAAGCGUAGUACAUCUCUCGCUCUAGGGCCCGGCGGCUGCCUGCCAGAACCCCAAACUCUUAUGGUUGACCUCGGAUCAGGUAGGGAUACCCGCUGAACUUAAGCAUAUCAAUAAGCGGAGGA